UACGUAGGGGGCAAGCGUUGUCCGGAUUUAUUGGGCGUAAAGAGCGUGUAGGCGGCCAUACAGGUCAGCUGUGAAAACUCGAGGCUCAACCUCGAGACGUCGGUUGAAACCGUUUGGCUAGAGUCCGGAAGAGGAGAGUGGAAUUCCCGGUGUAGCGGUGAAAUGCGCAGAUAUCGGGAGGAACACCUGUGGCGAAAGCGGCUCACUGGACCAUAACUGACGCUGAUGCACGAAAGCUAGGGGAGCAAACAGG
rnacentral:rRNA from 1 species